GGGUUGUGAGGUUAAGCGACUAAGCGUACACGGUGGAUGCCCUGGCAGUCAGAGGCGAUGAAGGACGUGCUAAUCUGCGAUAAGCGUCGGUGAGGUGAUAUGAACCGUUAUAACCGGCGAUUUCCGAAUGGGGAAACCCAGUGUGUUUCGACACACUAUCAUUAACUGAAUCCAUAGGUUAAUGAGGCGAACCGGGGGAACUGAAACAUCUAAGUACCCCGAGGAAAAGAAAUCAACCGAGAUUCCCCCAGUAGCGGCGAGCGAACGGGGAGGAGCCCAGAGCCUGAAUCAGUGUGUGUGUUAGUGGAAGCGUCUGGAAAGGCGCGCGAUACAGGGUGACAGCCCCGUACACAAAAAUGCACAUGCUGUGAGCUCGAUGAGUAGGGCGGGACACGUGGUAUCCUGUCUGAAUAUGGGGGGACCAUCCUCCAAGGCUAAAUACUCCUGACUGACCGAUAGUGAACCAGUACCGUGAGGGAAAGGCGAAAAGAACCCCGGCGAGGGGAGUGAAAAAGAACCUGAAACCGUGUACGUACAAGCAGUGGGAGCCUCUUAAUGGGGUGACUGCGUACCUUUUGUAUAAUGGGUCAGCGACUUAUAUUCUGUAGCAAGGUUAACCGAAUAGGGGAGCCGAAGGGAAACCGAGUCUUAACUGGGCGUUAAGUUGCAGGGUAUAGACCCGAAACCCGGUGAUCUAGCCAUGGGCAGGUUGAAGGUUGGGUAACACUAACUGGAGGACCGAACCGACUAAUGUUGAAAAAUUAGCGGAUGACUUGUGGCUGGGGGUGAAAGGCCAAUCAAACCGGGAGAUAGCUGGUUCUCCCCGAAAGCUAUUUAGGUAGCGCCUCGUGAAUUCAUCUCCGGGGGUAGAGCACUGUUUCGGCAAGGGGGUCAUCCCGACUUACCAACCCGAUGCAAACUGCGAAUACCGGAGAAUGUUAUCACGGGAGACACACGGCGGGUGCUAACGUCCGUCGUGAAGAGGGAAACAACCCAGACCGCCAGCUAAGGUCCCAAAGUCAUGGUUAAGUGGGAAACGAUGUGGGAAGGCCCAGACAGCCAGGAUGUUGGCUUAGAAGCAGCCAUCAUUUAAAGAAAGCGUAAUAGCUCACUGGUCGAGUCGGCCUGCGCGGAAGAUGUAACGGGGCUAAACCAUGCACCGAAGCUGCGGCAGCGACACUAUGUGUUGUUGGGUAGGGGAGCGUUCUGUAAGCCUGUGAAGGUGGCCUGUGAGGGUUGCUGGAGGUAUCAGAAGUGCGAAUGCUGACAUAAGUAACGAUAAAGCGGGUGAAAAGCCCGCUCGCCGGAAGACCAAGGGUUCCUGUCCAACGUUAAUCGGGGCAGGGUGAGUCGACCCCUAAGGCGAGGCCGAAAGGCGUAGUCGAUGGGAAACAGGUUAAUAUUCCUGUACUUGGUGUUACUGCGAAGGGGGGACGGAGAAGGCUAUGUUGGCCGGGCGACGGUUGUCCCGGUUUAAGCGUGUAGGCUGGUUUUCCAGGCAAAUCCGGAAAACCAAGGCUGAGGCGUGAUGACGAGGCACUACGGUGCUGAAGCGACAAAUGCCCUGCUUCCAGGAAAAGCCUCUAAGCAUCAGGUAACAUCAAAUCGUACCCCAAACCGACACAGGUGGUCAGGUAGAGAAUACCAAGGCGCUUGAGAGAACUCGGGUGAAGGAACUAGGCAAAAUGGUGCCGUAACUUCGGGAGAAGGCACGCUGAUAUGUAGGUGAAGCGACUUGCUCGUGGAGCUGAAAUCAGUCGAAGAUACCAGCUGGCUGCAACUGUUUAUUAAAAACACAGCACUGUGCAAACACGAAAGUGGACGUAUACGGUGUGACGCCUGCCCGGUGCCGGAAGGUUAAUUGAUGGGGUUAGCGGCAACGCGAAGCUCUUGAUCGAAGCCCCGGUAAACGGCGGCCGUAACUAUAACGGUCCUAAGGUAGCGAAAUUCCUUGUCGGGUAAGUUCCGACCUGCACGAAUGGCGUAAUGAUGGCCAGGCUGUCUCCACCCGAGACUCAGUGAAAUUGAACUCGCUGUGAAGAUGCAGUGUACCCGCGGCAAGACGGAAAGACCCCGUGAACCUUUACUAUAGCUUGACACUGAACAUUGAGCCUUGAUGUGUAGGAUAGGUGGGAGGCUUUGAAGUGUGGACGCCAGUCUGCAUGGAGCCGACCUUGAAAUACCACCCUUUAAUGUUUGAUGUUCUAACGUGGGCCCCUUACCGGGGUUGCGGACAGUGUCUGGUGGGUAGUUUGACUGGGGCGGUCUCCUCCUAAAGAGUAACGGAGGAGCACGAAGGUUGGCUAAUCCUGGUCGGACAUCAGGAGGUUAGUGCAAUGGCAUAAGCCAGCUUGACUGCGAGCGUGACGGCGCGAGCAGGUGCGAAAGCAGGUCAUAGUGAUCCGGUGGUUCUGAAUGGAAGGGCCAUCGCUCAACGGAUAAAAGGUACUCCGGGGAUAACAGGCUGAUACCGCCCAAGAGUUCAUAUCGACGGCGGUGUUUGGCACCUCGAUGUCGGCUCAUCACAUCCUGGGGCUGAAGUAGGUCCCAAGGGUAUGGCUGUUCGCCAUUUAAAGUGGUACGCGAGCUGGGUUUAGAACGUCGUGAGACAGUUCGGUCCCUAUCUGCCGUGGGCGCUGGAGAACUGAGGGGGGCUGCUCCUAGUACGAGAGGACCGGAGUGGACGCAUCACUGGUGUUCGGGUUGUCAUGCCAAUGGCACUGCCCGGUAGCUAAAUGCGGAAGAGAUAAGUGCUGAAAGCAUCUAAGCACGAAACUUGCCCCGAGAUGAGUUCUCCCUGACUCCUUGAGGGUCCUGAAGGAACGUUGAAGACGACGACGUUGAUAGGCCGGGUGUGUAAGCGCAGCGAUGCGUUGAGCUAACCGGUACUAAUGAACCGUGAGGCUUAACCUUACAACGCCGAAG
rnacentral:rRNA from 1 species